GACGUAGGGCGCGCGCGUUGUCCGGAUUUAUUGGGCGUAAAGAGCUCGUAGGCGGCUUGUCGCGUCGACCGUGAAAACUUGGGGCUCAACCCCAAGCCUGCGGUCGAUACGGGCAGGCUCGAGUUCGGUAGGGGAGACUGGAAUUCCUGGUGUAGCGGUGAAAUGCGCAGAUAUCAGGAGGAACACCGAUGGCGAAGGCAGGUCUCUGGGCCGAUACUGACGCUGAGGAGCGAAAGCGUGGGGAGCGAACAGG
rnacentral:rRNA from 1 species